rnacentral:rRNA from 1 species
AUGUUGGCGGCGCGUGUGAACCUCAAGGGCUGGCAGCAGGUGGCUGUUGCAGUCGGUUCGGCGUUCGGGGCCUUGCUUGAUCCGAAGAGAGCUGAUCUGAUUGCUGCGCUUGGGGAGACCACCGGGAAGCCAGCGUUCGAGCGUGUGCUCCAGCGCAUGAAGAACAGCGCCGAAGGCAGGGAAAUUCUUUUGGAGCGUCCUCGGGUUAUAUCCACUCGGGUUUCACACGCCUGGGACAUGCCUGAGAACACGUUUGGUGCUGCCUAUGCUCAGUUCAUGGGAUCAAGGAACUUCUCGCCGGACGACCGCCCACCAGUUCGCUUCAUGGAGACCGACGACCUCGCCUUCGUCGCGACCCGUGCCCGUGAGGUGCACGACUUCUGGCACGUGCUGUUCGGCCUCCCGACCAACCUGAUCGGCGAGACUGCUCUCAAGGUGAUCGAGUUCGAGCAGAUGUUCCUCCCGAUGUGCAUGCUCUCUGUCGUCGGGGGCUCCGCGAGGUUCAGCGAGAAGCAGAGGAGGCUGUUCUUCCAGCACUAUUUCCCAUGGGCGACCAAGGCAGGUGUCAAGGCUACUGAUCUGAUGUCCGUGUACUAUGAGAAGCACUUCCAUGAAGAUCUGGAGGAGGUGAGGAGGAACUGGGGGAUCGUGACAUGCCCGGAUCCCAAGGCGACGAGCAGUGCUUAG